UACGGGGGGGGGCAAGCUUGUUCGGAAUUACUGGGCGUAAAGGGCUCGUAGGCGGCCAACUAAGUCGGAUGUGAAAUCCCCAGGCUUAACCUGGGAACUGCAUCCGAUACUGGAUGGCUUGAAUCCGGGAGAGGGAUGCAGAAUUCCAGGUGUAGCGGUGAAAUGCGUAGAUAUCUGGAGGAAUACCGGUGGCGAAGGCGGCAUCCUGGACCGGCAUUGACGCUGAUGAGCGAAAGCUAGGGGAGCAAACGGG
rnacentral:rRNA from 1 species